AUGUUCUCUGUAGUUCUGCUGCUUCUGGCUGCUGGAUCCUGUGUGAAGUGUGAACAGCUGACACAACCAGACUCUGUGAGUCUGCAGCCAGGUCAGAGACUGACCAUCACCAGUCAGGUCUCUUAUACUCUGAACAGCUACUACACACCUUGGAUCAGACAGCCUGCAGGGAAAGGACUGGAGUGGAUUGGGAUGAAAUACACUGGAGCUUCUUUCUACAAAGAUUCACUGAAGAACAAGUUCAGCAUUGAUUUAGACUCUUCCAACAACAGAGUGACUCUAAAUGGACAGAACAUGCAGCCUGAAGACACUGCUGUGUAUUUCUGUGCCAGAGAUUCACAGUGAUACAAACCAUCAGCAGACCUGAACAAAAACCCUCAGAGCCUGAAAACUUGUAGCAUGAAUCCACCAGAGGAGGCGCUCUAACACCACCAAUGUUUUUAUUUAUUUUUUACCUCCAUAAAUACUUUACGGCAUAUAUCUUUAAAGUUUUGUAAACAUUAGUUCAACAAAUUAUUAUUUUUAUUAAAUCAAGAAAAAUCAAUUCAAAUCACAUAAAAUAAAACCAAGUUUUCUUUAUGAGGCACUUUUUAUUAAUACAUAAAGUGCUUUACAAUUAAAACAGAAAACACAAAAGUUCACAUAAAACCCCAACCCACGCUUUACCCUCCCCCCAUAUAUCCCCCACAUGACACAAGAUAUGGCACAUGGUAAUCACUCAGGCCAGUAUACCUAUCAUAUUUGAGGUGAGGAUAUCUCCAGAUUUCACCCAUGCAGGUCAUCAUGACAGGAUUCUGACCUUUUUCAGUAUAUUGACACCAGAUAUCACCAGAUAUGACUGCAAGUCAAUUUCCAAAACUUGGAUAUGACCUAAAUAAGACACAGCUAGUAUCCUGACACACUAUAUGUCCUGUGUCAGUAUCGUCAGCCCAGAUAUCUCCAGAUAUGCUGCAUGUUUUAAUAUGUACCAGAAAUGGUCGAGAUUCUUCUGAUAUUUAAGGAAGUAUCCCCAAAGGAUAUUUACAGAUUCUGGCUCUUUUCACGCAGUGUACCUUUCCAUUCCUUUCUUUUACAGUUGCUAACGUCAAUAAGACUAAUUUCCCUUCAGUGCUUCUUUAUUUUACUUCACAACAAGUAAAUAGAGGGGAGGAGCUACUUGGCAGUGCCCCCCAGCCAGCAACCAAGUAGAAGAUGUCCUCUCAGCGCCCUUACCACCACUUUUAACUGCACCGUUUACCCCACAACAACCUCUACACACAAACACAGAUUACACAAGGGAGGUGGGACCUCUGAUCUUCUGCCCCCCAUCCCAUCCCUGAUGGGGGAACCAGGCCCUCAGCAGUGGGGGCCGUGUCCAUUAGCCUCACUGGCCCCGCAACCCUCUCUCCACAUAGGGAGAAGGAACCUUGACGGCUGGCUGCCGCUGCUUAGACUAACAUUUACUGACAAUAAUGUUAAUAAACCUCCACUAACUUGUUGUUUUAUGAUUCUACACAUCCCCCUCUUCUUUAAUCAUCCUCCAACUUCCUCAACUGAUCCCUUUUUUUCCUCUCCUUUAUAUUGUACCCUUCUCCCCAUCCCACUCUCUACUUCUCUCUUCUUCUUUUCCGUCUGAUCCAACAAAAAAAGUGUACAAACAUAAUCAAUGUGAAUAAAGUUUAGUCUCAGAUACAAAAGGGGAUUAUAUAAAUAGCCUACAAGCCUUGUGUGUUAGAAGACUCAUAACCCCUUAUUGCAGCAGUAAAAUUUGUCCUACCCAAGAGACCCUCAGCUCUAAUCUGUUUGUUCAGCUUUUGGACAGGACAAGUAAAA